AUUGAACGCUGGCGGCAGGCCUAACACAUGCAAGUCGAGCGCGAAAAUUCCUUCGGGGAUGAGUAGAGCGGCGGACGGGUGAGUAAUGCGCAGAAAUCUGCCCAGUAGUGGGGGACAACCUGGUGAAAACCAGGCUAAUACCGCAUACGCCCUACGGGGGAAAGCAGGGGAUCUUCGGACCUUGCGCUAUUGGAUGAGUCUGCGUCGGAUUAGCUUGUUGGUGAGGUAAUGGCUCACCAAGGCGACGAUCCGUAGCUGGUCUGAGAGGAUGAUCAGCCACACUGGGACUGAGACACGGCCCAGACUCCUACGGGAGGCAGCAGUGGGGAAUAUUGGACAAUGGGCGAAAGCCUGAUCCAGCCAUGCCGCGUGUGUGAAGAAGGCUCUAGGGUUGUAAAGCACUUUCAGUGGGGAAGAAGACUUGUUAGCUAAUAACUGACGAGUGUGACAUUUACCCACAGAAGAAGCACCGGCUAACUCCG
rnacentral:rRNA from 1 species